UACGAAGGGUGCAAGCGUUACUCGGAAUUACUGGGCGUAAAGCGUGCGUAGGCGGUUUGUUAAGUCUGUCGUGAAAGCCCCGGGCUCAACCUGGGAAUGGCGAUGGAAACUGGCGAGCUAGAGUACGGCAGAGGGGGGUGGAAUUCCACGUGUAGCAGUGAAAUGCGUAGAGAUGUGGAGGAACACCGAUGGCGAAGGCAGCCCCCUGGGUCAACACUGACGCUCAUGCACGAAAGCGUGGGGAGCAAACAGG
rnacentral:rRNA from 1 species